AGGACGAACGCUGGCGGCGUGCUUAACACAUGCAAGUCGAACGGUGACCCUCGGAGCUUGCUCUGGGGUGAUCAGUGGCGAACGGGUGAGCAACACGUGGGCAACCUGCCCUUAGCUCUGGGAUAAGCCCGAGAAAUCGGGUCUAAUACCGGAUACGACACGGGACGGCAUCAUCUCCGUGUGGAAAGAAUUUUGGCUAAGGAUGGGCCCGCGGCCUAUCAGCUAGUUGGUGGGGUAAUAGCCUACCAAGGCGACGAC
rnacentral:rRNA from 1 species